rnacentral:lncRNA from 1 species
ACAAUCCUAUUCAUUAAACUAAGGACCAUACAGUAAGUCACAUACCAUUUGGAUUAUCAUACUGAUUCUACUCACAAGAUUAUCAUUAUACCAAUAAAAUUUCAUCCUCCUGGAGGAAUGCCUCUACCCUCUUUGUUUAUUAAAUCAAGUUGGGGAAUGCCUUAACCUAUUAUUCUAGUUUAUUAAAUCAACUCGGGGGAAUGUCUU